AACUUUUGGCAACGGAUCACUUGGCUCUCGCAUCGAUGAAGAACGCAGCGAAAUGCGAUACGUAAUGUGAAUUGCAGAUUUCAGUGAAUCAUCGAAACUUUGAACGCAAAUUGCGCUCUCUGGUAUUCCGGAGAGCAUGCUUGUUUGAGUAUCAGUAAACACCUCAAAUCCCUCUACUUGUUGGAGGAGUUUGGACUUGGGCAUUCCCAACUUUUCGAAAGAGAUGGCGGGUUGCUUGAAAGGCAGGUGCAGCUAGAUUCUUUCUUCUGAGCUAUAAGCAUACUUAUUUAAUCCCGUCAAACGGAUUAUUACUUUUGCUGCAGCUAACAUAAAGGUUGAAGAGUCGCUAUGGCUGACUGAUGCAGGAUUUAACAUGUCGCGCAAGCGAUCUGUAAACUCGAUCUCAAAUCAAGCAAGACUACCCGCUGAACUUAAGCAUAUCAAUAAGCGGAGGCU
rnacentral:misc_RNA from 1 species